GAUGAACGCUGGCGGCGUGCCUAAUACAUGCAAGUCGAGCGGAUGGAUUGAGAGCUUGCUCUUAUGAAGUUAGCGGCGGACGGGUGAGUAACACGUGGGUAACCUGCCCAUAAGACUGGGACAACUCCGGGAAACCGGGGCUAAUACAGGAUAACAUUUUGAACCGCAUGGUUCGAAAUUGAAAGACGGCUUCGGCUGUCACUUAUGGAUGGACCCGCGUCGCAUUAGCUAGUUGGUGAGGUAACGGCUCACCAAGGCAACGAUGCGUAGCCGACCUGAGAGGGUGAUCGGCCACACUGGGACUGAGACACGGCCCAGACUCCUACGGGAGGCAGCAGUAGGGAAUCUUCCGCAAUGGACGAAAGUCUGACGGAGCAACGCCGCGUGAGUGAUGAAGGCUUUCGGGUCGUAAAACUCUGUUGUUAGGGAAGAACAAGUGCUAGUUGAAUAAGCUGGCACCUUGACGGUACCUAACCAGAAAGCCACGGCUAACUACGUGCCAGCAGCCGCAGUAA
rnacentral:rRNA from 1 species